rnacentral:rRNA from 1 species
GACGGGGGGUCCUAGCGUUGUUCGGAAUCAUUGGGCGUAAAGCGUGUGCAGGUGGUUUGGUAAGUUGGAUGUGAAAGCCUUGGGCUUAACCCAAGAAGUGCAUUCAAAACUCCCAAACUUGAGUAGGGAAGAGGGUCGUGGAAUUCCAGGUGUAGUGGUGAAAUACGUAGAUAUCUGGAGGAACACCGGUGGCGAAGGCGGCGACCUGGUCCUAUACUGACACUCAUACAC